UACGGGGGGGGGCAAGCGUUGUUCGGAAUUACUGGGCGUAAAGGGCUCGUAGGCGGCCAACUAAGUCCGACGUGAAAUCCCCAGGCUUAACCUGGGAACUGCGUCGGAUACUGGAUGGCUUGAAUUCGGGAGAGGGAUGCAGAAUUCCAGGUGUAGCGGUGAAAUGCGUAGAUAUUCGGAAGAACACCAGUGGCGAAGGCGGCUCACUGGACUGGUAUUGACGCUGAGGUGCGAAAGCGUGGGGAGCGAACAGG
rnacentral:rRNA from 1 species